GAUGAACGCUGGCGGCGUGCCUAAUACAUGCAAGUCGAGCGAACAGGCGAGGAGCUUGCUCCUCUGACGUUAGCGGCGGACGGGUGAGUAACACGUGGAUAACCUACCUAUAAGACUGGGAUAACUUCGGGAAACCGGAGCUAAUACCGGAUAAUAUAUUGAACCGCAUGGUUCACUAGUGAAAGACGGUUUUGCUGUCACUUAUAGAUGGAUCCGCGCCGCAUUAGCUAGCUGGUAAGGUAACGGCUUACCAAGGCAACGAUGCGUAGCCGACCUGAGAGGGUGAUCGGCCACACUGGAACUGAGACACGGUCCAGACUCCUACGGGAGGCAGCAGUAGGGAAUCUUCCGCAAUGGGCGAAAGCCUGACGGAGCAACGCCGCGUGAGUGAUGAAGGUCUUCGGAUCGUAAAACUCUGUUAGUAGGGAAGAACAAAUGUGUAAGUAACUAUGCACGUCUUGACGGUACCUAAUCAGAAAGCCACGGCUAACUACGUG
rnacentral:rRNA from 1 species